AGUGUAAGAUUGUUUUUGCUAGUCACUUAUAGAUGGACCCGGCCCGUAUUAGCCUGAAGUUGUUGAGGUUACGGCUCACCAAGGCAACUGAUACGUAGCCGACCUGAGAGGGUGAUCGCCACACUGGAACUGAGACACGGUCCAGACUCCUACGGGAGUCACAUUAGGGAAUCUUCCGCAAUGGGCGAAAGCCUGACGGAGCAACGCCGCGUGAGUGAUGAAGGUCUUAGGAUCGUAAAACUCUGUUAUUAGGGAAGAACAAACGUGUAAGUAACUGUGCACGUCUUGACGGUACCUAAUCAGAAAGCCACGGCUAACUACGUGCCAGCACCGCGGUAAUACGUAGGUGGCAAGCGUUAUCCGGAAUUAUUGGGCGUAAAGCGCGCGUAGCGGUUUUUUAAGUCUGAUGUGAAAGCCCACGGCUCAACCGUGGAGGGUCAUUGGAAACUGGAAAACUUGAGUGCUAGAAGAGGAAAGUGGAAUUCCAUGUGUAGCGGUGAAAUGCGCAGAGAUAUGGAGGAACACCAGUGGCGAAGGCGACUUUCUGGUCUGUAACUGACGCUGAUGUGCGAAAGCGUGGGGAUCAAACAGGAUUAGAUACCCUGGUAGUCCACGCCGUAAACGAUGAGUGCUAAGUGUUAGGGGGUUUCCGCCCCUUAGUGCUGCAGCUACGCAUUAAGCACUCCGC
rnacentral:rRNA from 1 species